GACGAACGCUGGCGGCGUGCCUAAUACAUGCAAGUCGAGCGAAGUUUUUCUGGUGCUUGCACUAGAAAAACUUAGCGGCGAACGGGUGAGUAACACGUAAAGAACCUGCCUCAUAGACUGGGACAACUAUUGGAAACGAUAGCUAAUACCGGAUAACAGUAUUUCUCGCAUGAGAGAUAUUUAAAAGUUGGUUAUGCUAACACUAUGAGAUGGCUUUGCGGUGCAUUAGCUAGUUGGUGGGGUAAAGGCCCACCAAGGCGACGAUGCAUAGCCGACCUGAGAGGGUGAUCGGCCACACUGGGACUGAGACACGGCCCAGACUCCUACGGGAGGCAGCAGUAGGGAAUCUUCCGCAAUGGGCGAAAGUCUGACGGAGCAACGCCGCGUGAGUGAAGAAGGAUUUCGGUUCGUAAAGCUCUGUUGUUAGGGAAGAAUGGAUAUGUAGUAACUAUACAUGUAAGAGACGGUACCUAACCAGAAAGCCACGGCUAACUACGUG
rnacentral:rRNA from 1 species